rnacentral:rRNA from 1 species
UACGUAGGGUGCGAGCGUUAAUCGGAAUUACUGGGCGUAAAGCGUGCGCAGGCGGCUUUGCAAGACAGAUGUGAAAUCCCCGGGCUAACCUGGGAACUGCAUUUGUGACUGCAUGGCUGGAGUGCGGCAGAGGGGGAUGGAAUUCCGCGUGUAGCAGUGAAAUGCGUAGAUAUGCGGAGGAACACCGAUGGCGAAGGCAAUCCCCUGGGCCUGCACUGACGCUCAUGCACGAAAGCGUGGGGAGCAAACAGG